rnacentral:rRNA from 1 species
CGUUGUGCGGAAGUACUGGGCGUAAAGCGUAUGCAGGCGGAUCGCUAAGUCAGGGGUGAAAUCCCGAGGCUCAACCUCGGAACUGCCUGUGAUACUGGUGAUCUUGAGUCCGGGAGAGGUGAGUGGAACUGCGAGUGUAGAGGUGAAAUUCGUAGAUAUUCGCAAGAACACCAGUGGCGAAGGCGGCUCACUGGCCCGGUACUGACGCUGAGAUACGAAAGCGUGGGGAGCAAACAGG